GAUGAACGCUGGCGGCGUGCUUAACACAUGCAAGUCGAACGAAGCAUUUAGAACGGAUUACUUCGGUUUGAAGUUCUUUAUGACUGAGUGGCGGACGGGUGAGUAACGCGUGGGUAACCUGCCUUGUACUGGGGGAUAGCAGCUGGAAACGGCUGGUAAUACCGCAUAAGCGCACAAUGUUGCAUGACAUGGUGUGAAAAACUCCGGUGGUAUAAGAUGGACCCGCGUCUGAUUAGCUAGUUGGUGAGAUAACAGCCCACCAAGGCGACGAUCAGUAGCCGACCUGAGAGGGUGACCGGCCACAUUGGGACUGAGACGCGGCCCAGACUCCUACGGGAGGCAGCAGUGGGGAAUAUUGCACAAUGGAGGAAACUCUGAUGCAGCGACGCCGCGUGAGUGAAGAAGUAAUUCGUUAUGUAAAGCUCUAUCAGCAGGGAAGAUAGUGACGGUACCUGACUAAGAAGCUCCGGCUAAAUACGUGCCAGCAGCCGCCGUAA
rnacentral:rRNA from 1 species